GACGAACGCUGGCGGCGUGCUUAACACAUGCAAGUCGAACGGUGACCCUCGGAGCUUGCUUCGGGGUGAACAGUGGCGAACGGGUGAGUAACACGUGAGUAACCUGCCCCUGACUCUGGAAUAAGCGCUGGAAACGGCGUCUAAUACCGGAUAUGACACGAACGGGCAUCCGUAUCGUGUGGAAAGUUUUUCGGUUUGGGAUGGACUCGCGGCCUAUCAGCUUGUUGGUGAGGUAAUGGCUCACCAAGGCGAUGACGGGUAGCCGGCCUGAGAGGGCGGCCGGCCACACUGGGACUGAGACACGGCCCAGACUCCUACGGGAGGCAGCAGUGGGGAAUAUUACACAAUGGGCGAAAGCCUGAUGCAGCGACGCCGCGUGAGGGAUGACGGCCUUCGGGUUGUAAACCUCUUUCAGCAGGGAAGAAGCGAAAGUGACGGUACCUGCAGAAGAAGCACCGGCUAACUACGUGCCAGCCGCCGCAGUAAAAC
rnacentral:rRNA from 1 species